AGCGGCGGACGGGUGAGUAACGCGUGGGUAACCUGCCUUAUACAGGGGGAGUAACAACCAGAAAUGGUUGCUAAUACCGCAUAAGCGCACAGGACCGCAUGGUCCGGUGUGAAAAACUCUGGUGGUAUAAGAUGGACCCGCGUUGGAUUAGCUAGUUGGCAGGGCAACGGCCUACCAAGGCGACGAUCCAUAGCCGGCCUGAGAGGGCGGACGGCCACAUUGGGACUGAGACACGGCCCAAACUCCUACGGGAGGCAGCAUG
rnacentral:rRNA from 1 species